GGCUGUUCUGUCGGGGGUGUUUCGUUUCAAGUAAUAGAUAUUGAAAUGUUCGUUCCCAAUAAUUCUCUGGGUCCGCGAUAGAGAGAGGAGAGAAGAGAGAACCCAGCUCGCCCCCGAAUCUGAAAUCUCCAGAGCAAGUAUUGGGAACAAAUUUAGGGGUUUUUUGGACCACCUAUGACUGACUCUAGAUUCCAGAGAUAGAGAUCGAUAAGCUUCAAUGUUUUGAGGAGAGAAUAUAUUUUGGAACAAUCGUUCCCGAUAAUUCCAGAGUCCGAGCAUAGAGAGAGGAGAGAAGAGAGGAGAGAAGAGGGAAGAGGAGCUCGACCCCUUGUGAAAUCUCCAGUGCAGAGCAGGUAUUAGGACCAAUUUUAGGGUUUUUUUGGACCACCUAUGACUGACUCUAGAUUCCAGAGAUAGAGAUCGAUAAGCUUCAACGUUUUGAGGAGAGAUUUGUCUGCAACCCUCAAAUAUUUCCCUAAAAGGUCUUCAUCAUCGUAUAGCUCAUAG